UCGAACCGCAUUCCAGUAACGCAGAACAAUUUUUACACGUUCGUGUGAACUUGACCGGAGCUCUGUAUAGACACACACAUCCAAGAACGAUUUGCAGACCUUAUUUUUUUAUUCAAUGUCACGGACAUAAUAACACAAAGUAAUAAGUUGUGCAUCAAGGCAGUAAUUGUCCGUUCUUCUAGUGAAAUUUAUUUAUUUACCAAAACAACAGCAGACACAAAUCCGCCACUUACAGCAAGGUUAACAACGGACAAGACGAAACAAAAGCAAGAAAAACACACAGACAUUAUGGGUUAAUUAAUCACGCCUAAAACGCUACGAUGGAAAAUUAUGUAAAUUAGAAUUAAUAUAGGCCUAUAAAUGAACGGAUAGGCCUGAACUAAAUUGUUAGGCCUAUAUGAAGAAGUUAAUCUACUAAUACACCCGCUUUUAAAAUAUUGACUCUACUAAAAGGAACAUAUAUUUAUUAUAUACAUCUGCAAAGCAAUACAAUUUUCUGUAUUUUUAUAUGGACCAACAAUUUUUUAAAUCUUGAAUCUUGUAUAAUA
rnacentral:misc_RNA from 1 species